ncrna:unclassified sequences Glutamine-II riboswitch (downstream peptide RNA)
GUCCGUUCAUCCCUUUCAAUCAGGGACGCAUGACACCCAAGCAUGGAACGGGGCUUGGU